AAAAGUAAGUUGCUUGAUAGGAGUUUGUUGAUUUGUUGAAAUGAGGGUAUCAUCAUCUGGGUUCAAUCCUCAGCCAGAGGAAGCAGGGGAGAAGAAAUGCUUGAAUUCAGAGUUGUGGCACGCGUGUGCAGGACCACUAGUUUCACUUCCACCUGUAGGAAGCAGAGUUGUGUAUUUUCCUCAAGGGCAUAGUGUGCAGGUUGCUGCCUCAACCAACAAGGAAGUAGAUGCUCAUAUCCCUAAUUAUCCUGGUUUACCGCCUCAACUAAUUUGUCAGCUGCACAACUUGACAAUGCAUGCAGAUGUUGAGACUGAUGAAGUAUAUGCUCAAAUGACAUUGCAGCCACUAAGUCCACAAGAGCAGAAGGAUGUGUGCCUGCUACCGGCAGAACUUGGCAUCCCGAGUAAACAACCAACCAACUAUUUCUGUAAAACUUUGACGGCAAGUGACACCAGUACUCAUGGUGGAUUCUCUGUCCCUCGCCGAGCCGCAGAAAAAGUUUUUCCCCCUCUUGAUUACUCUCAGCAGCCACCCUGUCAAGAGUUGAUUGCAAAAGAUCUCCAUGGGAACGAAUGGAAAUUACGGCAUAUUUUUCGCGGACAACCAAAGAGGCAUCUAUUGACAACCGGAUGGAGUGUGUUUGUGAGUGCAAAGAGACUUGUUGCAGGCGAUGCAGUCAUCUUUAUCUGGAACGAAAACAAUCAAUUGCUUUUGGGGAUUCGACGUGCUAAUCGUCCUCAAACUCUCAUGCCUUCUUCAGUCUUGUCAAGUGAUAGCAUGCACAUUGGUCUCCUGGCUGCAGCAGCUCAUGCAACUGCAACUAAUACUCGCUUUACAAUAUUUUAUAAUCCAAGGGCCAGCCCAUCAGAGUUUGUCAUACCUCUUGCCAAGUAUGCUAAAGCAGUGUAUCAUACUCGAAUCUCUGUUGGUAUGAGGUUCCGGAUGCUGUUUGAAACAGAAGAAUCAAGUGUUCGUAGGUAUAUGGGCACAAUUACUGGCAUCAGUGAUCUAGAUCCUGUUUGUUGGCCAAAUUCACACUGGCGGUCUGUGAAGGUUGGAUGGGAUGAAUCUACUGCUGGAGAAAGGCAGCCCAGAGUUUCUCUAUGGGAAAUUGAACCUCUGACAACAUUUCCUAUGUAUCCUUCUCCUUUCUCCCUUAGGCUAAAGCGGCCUUGGCCAUCUGGACUACCUUCUCUCCCUGGUUUUCCAAAUGUUGGUUUGACUAUGAAUUCUCCACUCUCAUGGCUACGUGGUGACAUGGGAGAUCAAGGGAUGCAGUCGCUUAAUUUUCAGGGAUUUGGUGCAACUCCGUUUAUGCAACCAAGAAUGGAUGCUUCUAUGUUAGGUUUGCAACCUGACAUUCUGCAAACAAUGACAGCACUAGAUCCAUCGAAACUUGCAAAUCAAUCCCUUAUGCAGUUCCAACAUAGUAUUCCCAACAGUUCAGCGCCUUUGAGUCAGAUUCAGAUGUUGCAGCCUUCUCAUUCACAGCAUAAUCUGAUACAAGGCUUUUCUGAAAACCACUUAAUAUCUCAGGCGCAGAUGCUUCAGCAGCAAUUACAGCGCCGUCAAAACUUCAAUGAUCAACAGCAAUUGCUACAGCCACAGCUUUAGCAGCACCAAGAAGUGAACUCGCAGUUUCAACAUCAAUAGCAAACUAAGACCAUAUCUGGUCUCUCUCAGAUGGCUUCAGCCACACAGCCCCAUCUUUCUCAUUUGCAAGUCCUAAGUUCGACUGGUUCCCUGCAAACCUUUUCUGAUAUACUGGGUAACCAUGUCAAUGCAUCUAGUAAUUCUAAUAUGCAAAGUCUGUUGAGUUCAUUUUCCCGUGAUGGAGCAUCUGCUGUCCUAAACAUGCAUGAAACUCACCCUCUAGUAUCUUCAUCCUCAUCAUCUAAGCGAAUUGCUCUAGAAUCUCAGCUCCCUUCUCGGGUUACUCCAUUUGUGGUGUCCCAGCCUGAGGAUGUGAUAGCGCACAAUACAAAGACCGGUAUGUCCAACAUGAAGGGUAGUAGUGGUGAUAAUGGAUCUUUAUCUAUUCAUUAUGCUACCUCUACCUUCACAAGUACUGCGGGCAAUGAGUACCCCCUUAACUCAGACAUGACAGCUUCAAGUUGUGUAGAUGAAUCAGGUUUCUUGCAGUCCUCCGAAAAUGGGGACCAAGCAAACCCAACUAAUAGAAUCUUUGUGAAGGUUCAAAAAUCAGGGUCCUUUGGACGGUCACUCGAUAUCUCCAAAUUUAGCAGCUAUCACGAACUUCGAAGUGAGCUUGCUCGCAUGUUUGGGCUAGAAGGCUUGUUGGAGGACCCUGAGAGAUCAGGUUGGCAGCUUGUAAUUGUUGACCGAGAGAAUGAUGUCCUCCUCCUCGGUGACGAUCCUUGGCAGGAGUUUGUGAACAAUGUUUGGUACAUCAAGAUACUUUCUCCACAUGAAGUGCAACAGAUAGGGAAAGAGGGACUUGAUCUUCCAAAUGGUGUCCAAGCGCAGACGCUUCCUGGCAAUGUCAAUGGAUGUGAUGAUUAUAUGAACCAGAAGGGCUCCCGAAAUACUAUGAACGGGAUACCAUUGGGGUCACUUGACUACUAAUGACCAUUAGUGUGAUCUGCCUAAGGUAAUUGUACUGUAUAGUUGUUGUUGCCCUU